AGGGGUGUGGCACAGUUGGUAGCGCAACGGUCUCCAAAACCGUAGGUCGUGGGUUCGAGUCCCGCCGCCCCUG
rnacentral:tRNA from 1 species